CCUACGGGUGGCAGCAGUGAGGAAUAUUGGUCAAUGGGCGAGAGCCUGAACCAGCCAAGUCGCGUGAAGGAUGACUGUCUUAUGGAUUGUAAACUUCUUUUAUACGGGAAUAACAAGAGUCACGUGUGACUCCCUGCAUGUACCGUAUGAAUAAGCAUCGGCUAACUCCGUGCCAGCAGCCGCGGUAAUACGGAGGAUGCGAGCGUUAUCCGGAUUUAUUGGGUUUAAAGGGUGCGUAGGCGGUUUGUUAAGUCAGCGGUGAAAUCUAGAGGCUCAACCUCGAAACUGCCGUUGAAACUGGCGAACUUGAGUGUAGAUGAGGUAGGCGGAAUUCGUGGUGUAGCGGUGAAAUGCAUAGAUAUCACGAGGAACUCCGAUUGCGAAGGCAGCUUACUAAGGUACAACUGACGCUGAAGCACGAAAGCGUGGGUAUCAAACAGGAUUAGAUACCCGGGUAGUC
rnacentral:rRNA from 1 species